rnacentral:rRNA from 1 species
GAUGAACGCUGGCGGCGUGCCUAAUACAUGCAAGUCGAGCGAACAGACGAGGAGCUUGCUCCUCUGACGUUAGCGGAGGACGGGUGAGUAACACGUGGAUAACCUACCUAUAAGACUGGGAUAACUUCGGGAAACCGGAGCUAAUACCGGAUAAUAUAUUGAACCGCAUGGUUCAAUAGUGAAAGACGGUUUUGCUGUCACUUAUAGAUGGAUCCGCGCCGCAUUAGCUAGUUGGUAAGGUAACGGCUUACCAAGGCGACGAUGCGUAGCCGACCUGAGAGGGUGAUCGGCCACACUGGAACUGAGACACGGUCCAGACUCCUACGGGAGGCAGCAGUAGGGAAUCUUCCGCAAUGGGCGAAAGCCUGACGGAGCAACGCCGCGUGAGGGAGGAAGGUCUUCGGAUCGUAAAACUCUGUUAUUAGGGAAGAACAAAUGUGUAAGUAACUAGGCACGUCUGGACGGUACCUAAUCAGAAAGCCACGGCUAACUACGUG